GCGCGAAAACUUUACAAUGCGGGAAACCGUGAUAAGGGAAUCUCGAGUGCCAGCAUAUAAUGUUGGCUGUCCAGAUGCCUAAAAAGCAUUUGUUAGCAAGGGCCGGGCAAGACCGGUGCCAGCCGCCGCGGUAACACCGGCGGCCCGAGUGGUAACCGUUUUUAUUGGGUCUAAAGGGUCUGUAGCCGGCCAUAUAAGUCCCUUGGGAAAUCUGGCAGCUCAACUGUCAGGCUGCUAGGGGAUACUGCUUGGCUUGGGACCGGGAGAGGUGAGAGGUACCUUGAGGGUAGGGGUGAAAUCUUGUGAUCCUCAGGGGACCACCAGUGGCGAAGGCGUCUCACCAGAACGGGUCCGACGGUAAGGGACGAAAGCUAGGGGCACGAACCGGAUUAGAUACCCGGGUAGUCCUAGCCGUAAACGAUGCUCGCUAGGUGUCAGUCACGGUGCGACCGUGAUUGGUGCCGUAGGGAAGCCGUGAAGCGAGCCACCUGGGAAGUACGGCCGCAAGGCUGAAACUUAAAGGAAUUGGCGGGGGAGCACUACAAC
rnacentral:rRNA from 1 species